GCUAGCCCCAACGAGAUGGUGGGCUCCUUGUCCAGGUUAAAUUAACAUACAUGCUUAAUCUUAUCAUAUACCCCUUGAAGAAAGGAAACCACCCUUUCUCUUGCACAGAACUGUAGGAUAUGGGAGGGGGUGUAAGGGCUCAGGACAAAGCAGAGGAUGAAGAGAGAGAGGAGGCCAGCACACUAACUGUUGUCUCUUUUUCCUUCUUCCUUACUGGGCUAGUGUCUGACGCUACAUACAGAUAUAGAGAAUCUCAAGGAACGAGUAGAGGCCAUUCAGUCCCUCACUGAGAAGUUCCAGUCGCUGGGAGAAUGAACACACCAUCUUCAAGAGAUACAGCUAGUACCUGUAGUCCAGAGUUGUCACCCACCUUCUUCAGUUGAGUUCUUCUUCAUCCAGUUUGUCCUUUUGACCCCUUGUUUAAGCCCUACAACCCCAGUUCAUAACAGCUUUAAAUUAAAAUGCAUUUUGUUUUC